rnacentral:rRNA from 1 species
GGGUCAGUAGGUUGGUCGUGCCACCGGUACGUACUGGUCUCACUGAUUCCUCCUUCCUGAAGAACCGUAAUGCCAUUAAUUUGGUGUUGCGGGGAAACAGGACUGUUCCUUUGAAAAAAUUAGAGUGUUUAAAGCAAGCUAACGCUUGAAUACAUUAGCAUGAAAUAAUGAAAUAGGACGAUCGAUCCUAUUUUGCUGGUUUCUUGGAUUGACGUA